CUAACGCAAUGUGAUUUCUGCCC
rnacentral:siRNA from 1 species